rfam:Paenibacillus pectinilyticus strain KCTC13222 scaffold15, whole genome shotgun sequence.
UACUGAAAAUGGCAAACUUACCGAAAGGUAAGGGCGCAAAGUUAUGGGCCUAAAGCUUCAAAGCUAUGGCUGCCAAACCGCCAGU